GCUGGGCUCAGUAACGUGAGCCUGUAACCCAAGUGGGAGCAAUAAGAUGGUUGGAGAUGGGCCGAGUUCAUAUUUCUCUCUUCCUUAGCAGAGAGAUGGGCUUUCGGGCCUGUAAUGCGAAGUGAGCGCGAGUGUCGUACUCUGGACUUCCUCUCUCUGUGGGAUUGAAGCGGGCCAGCUACUGGUCCAAAAUGUGUUUGGAUCAAGUGGUGUAUGGGCUUGUCUGCAGGAGUACGAACGGAAACAGUAGAUGGGGUAUGACCCGGCCAUGUACCUGGACUAACAAAAAUGACUUUGUCAACAUUCGACAACCAUCUUU
rnacentral:SRP_RNA from 1 species